UCAACUAGGUGGGAGACUCACAGGAAUCCAAGAACUAUAUAGCCGUGGGGUGUCCACUCAAUGUGAGUAAUCCUUCCUAACAAUCCAUGGUGAUAAGAAUGAUUCCAUACAAGAAGGCCCUUACACUCACAGGCAAAGCCACUGCAGUUCCAAAGGGCAGAGAAAAGACCUCCAAGAUUCUCACUCCAGGAUGGAAACUAACCUAAAUCUGCCACCACAGGAUUGCAUACCGAUAACUGAGUCAGUUCACUGAUGCCUCCUAAUAUCUUGCUGAAGUUUUCAUGAAAGUCACAAAGCUUAGGUUGCAGAGGUGGGAUGGUCAUGACCAGAGUGUCCAGUCUUCCCUGGAUACACAGAUAAAUGGAGCAGCAUCCUUUGAGGUCCUGGAGGACUUACCCAAAGCCACGUGCUUAUCCCUUGCCAAUGGACGCUGGCAUUCAAACCUUUGUUUUUAUUUCCAGUCUUCAUGUAUGACCUGCACAUGGUAACUAUGCUGUGCACCUUUACAAACACUUUGUCUGUCAUUAUAAAAUUAAUUUAUUAUUCUCAAUAGAUUGAUAGAGAUUUAGCACCACUCACCAACUGUUUUAUACUUAAUUGAAUCUAGGGUGGCAUGGGACCUCCGCUUUGACAAAAGUGUCAUCCCAGCCUUGAGAACUUUUUGCAGUCACUGUGUGGUUCCCCAGGAUGGAAACAACAACAGCAACUCCAAAUGAAACGCAAAUAUCCCUCUGUGUUAUUUGAAACUGCCAGAGUUUCAGAGGGAGGUAUCCCUCUGAGGGAAAGAGGAGAUCUCAAGAGGGGAUGAUAAUACAUGUGAUAGGGGGAAGAGGGAAUCAUAGGUUAGAAGACAGAUCAGGCACCAGUGUGAC